CUGACCCUUCACCGAAUGGGAACACAUUCGGACCAGUCUGAUUGGCCUAGGAACCGAUGAGUUGGGCCAGAGCCAGAACACACAUGGAACACACAUUUCAAACAACAGUUUGAAAAUUCAUCAUUGACUUUGAUACUCUGAUUUGUUAGAGACAAUCCAAUCGUUGAUGUCUUUGUUUUGCACAAAGACAUUGUCCAGGGGGGAAAGUAGAUGUAAUUUCGUACUGGAACUGAACACCCAAGUGCGCGCGCACACUUUUUUUUAUACUACAAAAAUGACAGGGUAGCCAACUCUGCUGACACUGACGACAGAUCAAUAAAAACUAUGCUGUCUGAUCCAUAUAAUCAGCCUGCGAAAAGAGGAAACACAAAUACAAUAUGACUACCAUCUAACCUGGAGGAGAAACGAUUGUCCAAAAACACAGAAAAGGGGCACUGACCCAGUGAAUAUGCACCGGGGAUAUGGCUGAUGUUCUCCCGCUGGUGCUAAUAAGAUAUGCCACUGUUCCCUCAAGACUAUUCAAGCGAUCGACUCACUGAUGCAUGAAGAUGAUGAGCUAUCAGCAAAGGCCAUCUGGAGUCCCAAGCAUCCCCUCAAACGUCAUGCGGGGGUGCCAACUUCUUGCCAGGGACCAGGCACAUAUUUGAGUUUUGAUGACAAUGACCCAAAACACACUGCCACCCGGGUUUGCAUUGCAAAUGAGGGCAUAAACUGGGUCAAGACUCCGCAGAGACCAUAAAACAAAACCUCAUCAACAGGCAUAUAUCAAAUACACCCCUCCUGGACAAGAUCACAGAGACACAGUGACUGGCACACAGACAUUGUGGAGCCAAGAGAUAAUUGGUUCCCCCUCAAUC
ensembl:lncRNA